AUUGAACGCUGGCGGCAUGCCUUACACAUGCAAGUCGAACGGUAACGCGGGGCAACCUGGCGACGAGUGGCGAACGGGUGAGUAAUGCAUCGGAACGUGCCCAGUAGUGGGGGAUAGCCCGGCGAAAGCCGGAUUAAUACCGCAUACGACCUACGGGUGAAAGCGGGGGACCGUAAGGCCUCGCGCUAUUGGAGCGGCCGAUGUCGGAUUAGGUAGUUGGUGGGGUAAAGGCCUACCAAGCCUUCGAUCUGUAGCUGGUCUGAGAGGACGACCAGCCACACUGGGGCUGAGACACGGCCCAGACUCCUACGGGAGGCAGCAGUGGGGAAUUUUGGACAAUGGGCGGCAAGCCUGAUCCAGCAAUGCCGCGUGUGUGAAGAAGGCCUC
rnacentral:rRNA from 1 species